CCAGUGGUCUGAAACUCCAAACGCCAUCCACUCUGACUCCAUCGUCACUGCGCACCACUAAGCCGAGCGCGCGCAAUGCAACCCCCAACCACUGCCACCGUCUUCUCCAAGCCUCUAGUUCCUGCCGCUGCCGCCUCCGCCCAUGCCUUUCCGGCUCGGACCAACCCUAAACCCUGCAGGAUCCAUCUCCGUCUCCGCCUCCGCCUUUCCACCGCGGCCACCUCCAGAUGGGUCAACCCGCGGGUCCCGCCCCGCCGCGGCGCGGCCAACGACCGGCUCCACCACUUCAUCCGCCUCGGCGACCUCGACGCUGCGCUCCAGCUGGUAGGAUCCAUGUCCGAGCCCCCGGCCGUCGUCCCCUGCACGCUACUCAUCAAGAAGCUCUGCGCCGCGGGUCGCCUCGCCGACGCGGAGGGCGUGCUCCGGGCUUCGGAGGCCGCCGACGCCGUCGACCACAACACCCUCGUCGCCGGGUAUUGCCGCGCGGGUCGUCUCGCCGACGCCGAGCGCAUGCUCCGGUCCCUGGCUGCCUCCGGCGCAGCCGACGUCGUCACGUACAACACCCUCAUCGCCGGGUACUGCCGCGGCGGCCGGCUCGAGGACGCCCGCCUCCUCGUCGCCUCCAUGCCCCCCGCGCCCAACUCCUAUGCCUACAACACCCUGCUCAAGGGCUUGUGCAGUGCCAAGCAGUGGGGCGACGCCGAGGAGCUCGUCGAGGAGAUGACCCGGAAUGAUUCACCUCCAGAUGAUCUCACAUUCGGUAUGUUGAUCCAUUCCUUCUGCCAAAGUGGGUUGGUUGACCGUGCAAUGGGAAUUCUGGAUCGAAUGUCAAAGUGCGGGUGCACUCCGGGUGCCAUCGUAUACAAUGAAAUUAUCAGUUGCUUUGCAGAGCUAGGGCGUGUGAAGGAGGCCCUUCACUUGUUUAGCUGUAUGCCGUGCAAGCCUGAUAUCUUUAGUUACAAUGCUGUUUUGAAAGGACUGUGUCGAGCUGAGCGCUGGGAGGACGCAGGGGAGCUUAUCACUGAGAUGGUUAGAAAGGAUUGCUCUCCAGAUGAAGUCACAUUCAACACAGUAAUCAGUUUCUUGUGCCACAAGGGGUUGGUUGAUUGUGCACUAGAAGUUGUCGACCAAAUGCCAAAGUACGGACGUAAGCCUGAUAAUUUCACUUACAGUGCUCUUAUCAAUGCCUUCUCUGAACAAGGGUGUGUGGAAGAUGCUCUUGAGUUACUAAGAAGCAUGCCCUGCAGUCCUAACACUGUUUGCUACAAAUCUGUAUUGAAGGGUCUGUGCAGAGAUGGUCAGUGGGAGGAUGUUGGCCAGCUUAUAGGUGAGAUGGUUAGAAACGACUGCGCCCCUGAUGAAAUGGUAUUUGGGUUAAUCAUUGACUGUUUGUGCCAAAGAGGGCUGGUUGACUGUGGACUUGAAGUUCUUCAAGAAGUUCCAAAUUAUGGAUGCUCCCCUGAUGUUGUCAUGUACACUUCUCUUCUUAAUGGGUUUGCUGAAUAUGGGCGUGUGGAUGAUUCCCUCAAGUUAUUUAAAAGCAUGACGUGCAAACCUAAUACAGUUACCUAUAACUAUGUGUUGAUGGGUUUAUGUAAAGUUGAGCUAUGGGAGGAUGCUGGGAAGCUUAUUGACGAGAUGGUUGGGCAGGAGUGUCCUCCAAAUGAAAUGACAUUUAGUAUCCUUAUCAGCUCCUUGUGCCAAAAAGGAUUGGUUGAGUGUGCAAUUGAUGUUUUUGAGAAAAUGCAAAUGUACGGAUGCACACCUAAUGUCAUCAUUUAUAGCACACUUAACAAUGGUCUUUCUGAAAAGGGAUGUGUUGACAACGCCCUCAAGUUACUAAACAACAUGUCGUGCAAGGCUGACACCAUUUGUUAUAGCUCUGCGUUGAAGGGCUUGUGUAGGGCUGAGCUGUGGGAGGAUGCUGGGGAGCUUAUAGUCGAAAUGUUUCGAAAAGAUUGCCCCCCAGAUGAGGUCACAUUUAGUAUAAUAAUAACUAAUUUGUGCCAACAAGGGUUUGUCGAGUAUGCAACUGAAGUCUCAGAUCUAAUGCUAAAGUAUGAAUGCACGCCUAAUAUUGUAAUUUACAGUUCUCUCAUAAAUGGUUUCUCAGAACAUGGCCAUCUGGAAGAUGCUCUCAAGUUACUUAGAAGCAUGCCAUGUGAGCCUGACACAUCUGUUACAGCGCUGCCCUGAAAGGUUUGUGUAGAUCAAAGCGAUGGGAGGAUGCCCGGGAGCUUAUAGCUGAAAUGUUUAGAGAGGAGUGCCCAGUAGAUGAAGCAGUAUUCAGCAUACUCAUUGAUUCGUUAUGCCGGAAUGGAUUGCUUGACUUGGCGACUGAAGUUUUUGAGCAAAUGCCAAAGUACAGAUGUACUCCUAAUAUGGUGAUAUACAACUCCGUUGUUAAUGGCUUUUCUGAGCAAGGACGUGUCGAUGAAGCCUCAAGUUAUUAAACAACAUGUCAUGAAAGUUUAGAACCAUUUUCGGUCAGAAAGCAUUGAAGAGCUUAGAGUUGAGAGAAUGCUAAUGGCCUAAGGUAUUAUUCAGGGAGGUAUGCAUCCCUGAUGAGAUGAAGUGGCAUAUAUCAUAGUCACUAACUGCUUGUGACAGAAAACUUUGGGCCAGGAGUGCAACUGCAGUUCAUGAGCAUGGAUAGAAUCUUCACGGUGUGGUUCUCAUUGGCUUUCUAGCUUAUAUGGGUGAGUGAUACGGAUACCCCCUCCUCAAUUUACUGCCCUGGAAACUGGGUGCUUGUCAAUGGAAUUUCUCAUUAGACUUAGACAUCAAUAUUUCUACCAUGAGAGCUGAUCAAUAUAUUAAAUUCGAGUGAAAGAAAACAGAUCGGUGAAGGACUACAUCCAAUUGAAAUGAAGGCCAUGCUAAUUCUAAGCGUAAGAUAUUUGUUGUGUUUACAAGUCAAUGGUCUUGCUUGGUCAGAAAUAUUGUUAAGGAACGAAAUAUAGUGAUCAGUAAUGGAGAUUGCUGAAAUAUCGAUUAAUUGCAGCCUCUUGCCAGAGAACCAAUUGGAUGAACAUUCAAUCAAAUAUAAUCAGGGGUCAGUUGCAACUUACAAGGGGCCUAGCAGUUUAAGAACAGUGCCUCUGAGAAUCACUAAAAAAUAGGCCAGACCUUCACUUAACAAUUGGGUGGCCAAUACAGAUUGAAUUUUUCAAAUAGGUGGGAAGGGUGACUUAUGCCAAGAGCUAAUUCUGUAUAAGUUUACUGGAAUUUGUGUGAGAUAUGUGCAUGUGGAAGAUGCAGAUUACGUCUUUGAUGAACAGAAUAUAAAGCAGUUAGUUUCAACUUCCAGUUAGUGGAGACUGAUUGCGCCCAACUUAUUGUUCACGGGCGAAGGGGGAGCUGGGAUGAUCCUAAAAGACAGCACUGGAGCAACGUUUAGUGCUGUCCGUUAUUUGCCGUCCUGCGGAGAUGCUUUUGAGGCCGAAUUGGCUGCAUGCACGGAGGGCUUGCCCAUAGCCGUCCAAGCUCCAAAGGACUGAGCUGCAGUUCACGCCGAAUUGGCUGCAUGCACGGAGGGCUUGCCCAUAGCCGUCCAAACUCCAAAGGACUGAGCUGCGCCAAAGUUCACGGUGACUCCACCGCUAUCUUGCCUCCCAUGGAUACCGAUGGAUCUGCAUCGUGUAUUGAUCAGACGGUCCGGGAAAAUCGUGGGUUCUGAAGCCUAUUUGACUAAUUUUCUAGGCCUGCACAGAGUCUUGUCAUGUCGGGCUUGUCAGAUGGCCCACCUUUUUGCCAGGCCCGGCUCAACGAGUCUCUCCUCUCGUUCUUUUCUCUUCCUCCCCACCGAAGCCCUCCUCUCCUGUACCUGCCGCUACCGAGCCGCCGUUACUCCUCCGGCACUGAGGGCGGCCGCCGGCCGGUCGCCUCUCCCGUCCCCUUCCCUGCUCCCGACGCUUCCCCUCUCCUGCGCCCUGGACCUGAGGCCGUCGGUACUCCUCCGCCACAGAGGGCGGCUGCUGGCCGGUCGCCUCUCCCGUCCCCUUCCCUGCUCCCGAGGCUUCCCCUCCUCUUGCGCCAUGGCCGGACGGGGCCAGAUCCAGCCGCCCUCGGCCCUGCCAACGCCGGAUCCAGCCUUCCUUGGUCCUGCCGACGCCGGAUCCGGACGAGCGAGGAGAUACGAAGUAGGGCGCAGCCGCCGCCGGCCUCCGCCAUCGCCGCCGGUCCCUAGAUGUUCUUGACUUCUUGUACGUUUUUCAUAUGUAAUGAUGAUCAUCUAGAAGUUUACACACUUGACGAAAUGUGCAUAUUGUGCUGACAAUUAAGUACCAACGAGGUUCAUGAAGUGAGUGUGGAGGCUGAACCAGAACGUGCCAUGGUAGAGAAAGAUGCAUCAGAUUCUUCGGUUCAACUUCAAGAUGUGAAGGUGUACCAAAGGCCUAAUAUCUCGACUAAGAUGUACAACAGGAUUGCAAAGAAGCUUCGGUUCAACUUCAAGAUGGAGUCCCAUCUUGAUGUACCACAGAUAGAGGUGGAGUCACCAUGAACUUUCUGAGUCUUAUAGUUUUAUACGUACCGUCUCAAUCUCGAAAGAAUGUAUGUACCGUCUCUUCUUGGUGUUGCCUUUUCAUUCCAUCAAGUCUUCUGUCAAAGUACUUCAUCAAGGGGAGUACUUUCUGAGUCCAUUCACACAUUAACUAAUAACAUUAUAUAUUAUAUGGGCUUCAUGAAUUUGAAACCAUCAUGUACUUGUACUUAGCUUCUGUUUAACCCAUGAAGUAAUUAAUUACCCUGUAAUUGCAUCAAUUAAGAUUCAAAUUGUACCUGGAUUGUAUAUGUCCAAACCAUCAUGUACUUCAUGUAUUCUACUUCAUAGUUGUUGUCCUCUGUCUUUUAUCAAAUGACAUACCAAUUACUUGGUGUACUUCUGAUAUCUGCUACUUUUCUGCAAUCCAGUACCAAUGAUCAUGUUUUGGGUCACACAUAUAGUUACUUUUCAACUUCAUUGCUUUAGUCCAUGAGUGCUGAUGCUCUUAUAGUUUUCAUAUGUACUGAUGAUGAUUUCGAAGUUUACACACUUGACGAAAUGUACAUAUGCUGCUGACAAUUAAGUACCAACGCGGUUCCAUGGCAGAGAAAGAUGCAUCAGAUUCUUCCGUUCAACUUCAAGAUGUGAAGGUGUACCAAAGGCGUAAUAUCUUGACUAAGAUGUACACCAGGGUUGCAAAGAAGCUUCGUGGCGGACGGAGAUGCAACGACUACGGUUAUCAGUGAAGGCGCUAGUACUAUUUAGUUGUUUCAGAAUGGAAGAAUGUAUGAAAAUGAAAUGGUACUUGUUAUGUUUGUGAUAUUUUGAAGGUACCUGUAGGAAAUGGUAGUCGGUGACAGGUUGUGUUUCUUAGUACUUGGUGAAUUCUGGAAGGAUUUGAUGGCAGUACUAGAUUGUCAUGUGGACCAUAAUUAUUCGUAUGUUAUCCGUAAUAUUUGUUACGGACUAUUUGUUUUCUCAAUUGAGGCAUGUGCUUGGCA